rnacentral:rRNA from 1 species
GACGAACGCUGGCGGCGUGCCUAAUACAUGCAAGUCGAACGCUUCUUUCCUCCCGAGUGCUUGCACUCAAUUGGAAAGAGGAGUGGCGGACGGGUGAGUAACACGUGGGUAACCUACCCAUCAGAGGGGGAUAACACUUGGAAACAGGUGCUAAUACCGCAUAACAGUUUAUGCCGCAUGGCAUAAGAGUGAAAGGCGCUUUCGGGUGUCGUUGAUGGAUGGACCCGCGGUGCAUUAGCUAGUUGGUGAGGUAACGGCUCACCAAGGCCACGAUGCAUAGCCGACCUGAGAGGGUGAUCGGCCACACUGGGACUGAGACACGGCCCAGACUCCUACGGGAGGCAGCAGUAGGGAAUCUUCGGCAAUGGACGAAAGUCUGACCGAGCAACGCCGCGUGAGUGAAGAAGGUUUUCGGAUCGUAAAACUCUGUUGUUAGAGUAGAACAAGGACGUUAGUAACUGAACGUCCCCUGACGGUAUCUAACCAGAAAGCCACGGCUAACUGCGUG